UACCAUUUUAAAAUAAUACGAAAAUCCCUUCUUUUCACUCAAAAUCCAACUGCCGUCUGCCAGAUACAUUAUUUCAUUUCCACUCCAAAUUUACGUUUCUAACUCCUAUAUUUACUCCUUCAAUUUCUCUCUCUUUUCACUCACAUAAUCAAAUCAGUUACCACAUUAAUCAAAAUUUGAAUUUCAAGAGGUUUCUCUCUCCAGUCAACUAAUUUCAGAUCUGUAGGUCUAUAAGGUUGCAGGAUCCUUUAACAAUGACAAAUCAAAGUUCAGAGAAGGCAAAAGCAAAAAAUGAUGUACAUGCAUCAACCUGCAUCAUCGAAAGCAAAGGUUGAAAAACAACAACAAAAAAGAGGUAGAAAGGUUGCCCCUGCCAUAUCUCAACCUACACUAUUCAGGGUAUGUAUUUUGAACUAUGUAUUUUAGUAUUUAUUUAUUUUAUUUUAAAUUUAUGUCUUUCCAUGUUGAACUAUUGGAUCCACAACAUUCGUUUGAGGUGGAAUUUGUUCAAGAUAUUAUGCUACAAGAAAGCGACAAUCUGUAACUAUUGAAUUAAUUUUUCUUUACUUACACAUUUGAUCUGUUUUUAUAAUGUAUCUUCUUCUAUUUUGUAGUGACUGCGAAAUGUUUUUUUUUUAAAAUCAUUUUCGGUCCACAGUUGGACCUAUUUUAUUAACUAAAAAACACAGGAAACUAGUUCCUUACAGUUUAGGCCCAAAUGGUCCUUCCCAAAAACAAAACAAGGAAUCAAAGGUUUCUUAAUCUAGGCAUUGUUCAAAGAAGUGUUCCAGACUCUUCUCAAGCUCGCUAUCAUACGAGAAGCUGAAGCUCUGCUUGGAAUUUCCAGCUUCAUCCAUGGUUGUGGGCGCCAUCUUUCCAUGGUAAGUUUCUACUCUUUCUUUCCUUAAUCCUGAUCUCCUCCGAUAUGACUUGCGUUGACUUCAGGUGGGCUGAGUUCAUCCUUGAUGAGUUGAUCCAUCUUCGUAAGUUCACCCUCCCUCUAUUUUGCGUUCACUGCGCAAUGUUUUUUGUUGAAUUUCUGAGCGAUGAAAUCAACAUCCCAUCUAAUGAUUUUCGAAGUGACUAUCUUCGCACAAGAUAUGCAACAUUGUUAUGAAAGUAUGGUCUCAGCAAGGCCAAGACGGGAUAUGUUAGCGAGAAUGAUGAUCCUACAAGGCCGAAGAGUGACUACACUCCACCAACAGAAGAUGAUCUUGUUAAUGUAGAAUAGAUUUUUAUGUAUCGAUUCACCGACAAUUGUUGAUGAUCUAUUGUUUUUAAGAUACAUUAAUUAGUGUUUUUGAGUAUUUCUUCCCUUUUGAA